rnacentral:rRNA from 1 species
UACGUAGGGUGCAAGCGUUAAUCGGAAUUACUGGGCGUAAAGCGUGCGCAGGCGGUGAUGUAAGACAGUUGUGAAAUCCCCGGGCUUAACCUGGGAACUGCAUUCGGGACUGCAUUGCUAGAGUAUGGGAGAGGGAAGUGGAAUUUCAGGUGUAGCGGUGAAAUGCGUAGAUAUCUGAAGGAACAUCAGUGGCGAAAGCGACUUCCUGGACCAAUACUGACGCUCAUGUGCGAAAGCGUGGGGAGCAAACAGG